rnacentral:rRNA from 1 species
UACGUAGGAGGCAAGCGUUGUCCGGAGUUACUGGGCGUAAAGGGCACGCAGGCGGUCGACCAAGUAAGGUGUGACAGCGUCCGGCUUAACUGGACGAGGCAACCUUAGACUGGUGGACUUGAGGGCCAGAGAGGGACACAGAAUUCCGGGUGGAGCGGUGAAAUGCGUAGAGAUCCGGAGGAAUACCGAAGGCGCAGGCCGUGUCCUGGCUGGUACCUGACGCUCAGGUGCGAAAGCGAGGGGAGCGAACGGG